GCAAGGCUGGCGGAGCGCAGCGGUGGACCGUCACGGCGACCCGUGAAACCAAGCGCUAAUCCCACUAUCGGGCUUCCUUUGUGCUGAAGCCGAGUGACACUGUGCUUUUUUUUUUCUCCGUGAAAAUGUGCUAACAAACAUGAGAUUAGCGUAUCGCCGCUGAUCCGAUGGGUGCUGCGGAGAAUGAAAACCAUCAAUUUUCUAUACGGUCCUGCAUACUGGUCCUGAGCCUGACCCAGCUGAGACCCUGGACUGGUCCUAAAUCAAUCACAGGGUGUAUUUUGCGACACUUCUUACGAAUGUGCCGUCGACAAAAAUGAAGCCGGUGAGGUCAAGGGAGUCAGGCGCAAAGUCAAAGAUUUUGUUGACUGUCCAUAUUUGAUAGCCUCAUCAGGGGUGCGCCGGUGCGCGUCUCAUAUAGCCGCGUAUACGCCCACGCACGCCUGGCUCACGAGUCAAGUUCGACCGGUGCCGAGAAAUCCGCCGCCUUCGGGGGAGAGCCUAGUGUCGAGAAGAUUAAUUGGAGACGGCGCUCGGAGGCGCAAAUGUGUUCAUCUGCGAAUGGGCCAAACUCCCGCUCAGGAUCCGUCAGCACGUUGGAUCCCACGUGAACAUCAAACCCCUGCAGAGGUGCUUCUCUUUUGUCUCCGGGUAGUCCUGCCUGGCACGCUGCCCGGCGCCUCCCGCUUUCAUGUGGCCAGGGAAUUCUCCUCCCUCUGUGUGCUUUUGCGCCGGAGUGUGACGCCUUCGCAGGUACUGCCUUUCAAAUCUGUUUUGUAUUCUGGCACGCAUCCAACCGGCCUCGCACAGGUGGCUGUUCUCCCGCAGGCUCCUCGCCGCCGACCAGACUGCAGCCAAGCGACUAUUAACGGAAGCGCCAGAGGACCAUAACUCUGGAGACGGCCGCACUCGCAGUUAAGCGGUGAAGUGUCGGGAAGUGGUUUGACAUCCGCGUGAAGCUUGCGUGUGCCGUAAAUCACCGAGGCUUUUUCAUGUGCGCCGCCAGCGUGAGUCAGAAUCCCAAAGAGUUUUUUGCGUGUGUUCAUACGCGGCCACUCGUUUGGCUUCCUCCUGCGUUUUACUUUUACGCCGACAUGGCGAAAAAUGGAACGCGCAAACUUGCACGUGUGCCACCGCGUGUUGAUUUUGGAGCAAACGUGACGACGUUUCUCGACUUUUUGCGGAGAUCCCCGUUGUGAAUCUAACUUAAAAGCUUUUCCAUCCGCGCUGAGCAUGGUGGCUGACAAAAGAUCAGCAAAGAAAACGCUAAACAUGGUUCAGACAAAGCACUCACUUGCGUCUUCUGGUGUCUUCAUAGUUUUCCCAGUCCCAAUGUGGUGCAGGUAUGUUUACACGAGCAAAGAAUGAGCCUGCAGGACAUGCAGCACCUGGCCUCCAUCUCGAGGGGCAACAGCUGGAUGCCUUCUGUUGAUAGCGGGCUGCAGCUGGACCAGGCGCUAAGCCGUCCUUCGCCCAUGCGGAAACUGCUUGGAAUAUUGAUCGCAUCCAUCCUUGCCCAGACUUCUCCGCGGGGGUAUUGAUGACUCGGCAGUCUGGUUGGCUGCACUUCUUUGC